UACGUAGGGUGCGAGCGUUAAUCGGAAUUACUGGGCGUAAAGCGUGCGCAGGCGGUUUUGUAAGCCAGAUGUGAAAUCCCCGGGCUCAACCUGGGAAUGGCAUUUGGGACUGCAAGGCUUGAGUGCGGCAGAGGAGACUGGAAUUCCUGGUGUAGCAGUGAAAUGCGUAGAUAAUCAGGAGGAAUACCGGUGGCGAAAGCGACUCUCUGGACGGCAACUGACGCUGAGGCACGAAAGCGUGGGGAGCAAACAGG
rnacentral:rRNA from 1 species